rnacentral:tRNA from 3 species
GGGUGAUUAGCUCAGCUGGGAGAGCACCUCCCUUACAAGGAGGGGGUCGGCGGUUCGAUCCCGUCAUCACCCAC